AAGGCCGCUCCUCGGUGUGGAAACUACUGUUUGACAGGAUCACAGAAUCAGAUCCCAGCCCAUGGAUCCCCCCUGUGCCCGAUGCCCCCCUUGUCCCCCAGCCCAGAGCACUGAGUGCCACGGCCAGGCCUUCCUGGGACACCUCCAGGGAUGGGCACUCCAAACCUCCCUGGGCAGCCCCUGACAAGGCCUCACCACCCUUUCCAGCAACAAAUUCCUCCUCCUGGCCAACCUGAGCCUCCCCUGGCACAGCCUGAGGCCGUUCCCUCUCCUCCUGUCCCUUGUUCCCUGGCAGCAGAGCCCGACCCCCCCCGGCUCCCCCCUCCUGUCAGGGACUUGCAGAGCCAGAAGGUCCCCCCUGAGCCUCCUUUUCUCCAGGCUGAGCUCCCCCAGCUCCCUCAGCUGCUCCUGCUGCUCCAGCCCCUUCCCAGCUCCGUUCCCUUCCCUGCACACGCUCCAGCCCCUCCGGGUCUCUCCUGUUGAGGGCCCAGAACUGGGCACCCAGGUGUGUCCUCAGAGAAGGCACCUUGAACCUUUCUGAGCGUAUGUAGCCCCCCUAAAACAUUAAAUUCCAGCAUCAGUGUGGCUUAAUCAGAGCAGCUGUGGCAUAGGAGGGUGUGAGAAGUUCACCUCCUAAAUCCGACUGGCAUCUUUCCAGUACCUGAAGGGAGCCUACAAGAAAGAUAGAGAGGGACUUUUUACAAGGGCAUGUAGUGAGAGCAGGUUCACAUUGGAUAUUAGGAGGACUCUCUUCCCUGUGAGGGUGGGGAGGCCCUGGCACAGGUUGCCCAGAGAAGCUGUGGCUGCCCCUGGAUCCCUGGAAGUGUCCAAGGCCAGGUUGGACUGGGCUUGGAGCAACCUGGGCUAGUGGGAGGUGUCCCUGCCCAUGGCAGGGGUGGGAUUGGAACAAGAUGAGCUUUAAUGUGCCUUCCAACCCAAACCAUUUGAUUUAUUCUUUGAUUCUGUGAUCCUGGCAGAGCUGGGCCUCCUCCUUCAGGAGGUGAGACGCUUUUGUUUACCUUCUUCAUCACAACAUCGAGAGCUCUGGAGAUGUGAGAAGUCAGCUGUUAUUAAUAAAAUCCUAGUUAACAUAAAAAUCACUGGACAGUUUAGCUUGGGAGCAACCUCUGAGUGUCACCAUCUCCAGGUAGAAAGAGGUUCAACUUUUGUUCCAUGGACACUAACACAUCCUAUUUCAAACCUUGCAUUCACAAAUUGUAACCUGUAAUACAAAAAAAGUAAACCAGUGGCUUUUUUCCCUGCAGAAAGGUAUUUUGUGGUGCCCACAGAGGGAUUCCUGCAUGUGCUGAGCCUGGUUUCCUGCAGGGCUGUUCCCCAGCGUGGGAAGAUCCCUAAGUUUUGAUUAAAAGUUUUCCCCUAUUUCA